GGUAGAAUUGCUGGGUCUUAUGGUAGGGGUACGUUUAACUUUAUAAGAAAGUAUCAAUCUGUUUCCCAAAGUGACUGUACCAUUUUACAUUCCCACAGCAAU
rnacentral:pre_miRNA from 1 species